AAACCCCAUUAUUCCGGAAUACAACAUGGUUGUGUACAAGCACAUGUUCAUGAUGUUGAACAUUGCUAAAGGAAUAGGCACAGCCACAGCCACAGGAAUAUUAGGCUAUGCAGUGUGGUCACGCGAAGGAACAGUGCUCAACGCAUCCUGGACAACUAACUUUGAACCCAGUGUAAGAUGGGAGCACAACUGGGACCGGAGGGAUCCAGAGAGCCUUGUAAAACCCUUAAAAAGCAACUCAUCAGAAAAAGAGACAAAAAACAGAGAGAAUGAGUUGGAGAAACAGAGACCAACGGCCACCCGUCACCUGCUUCUGAUUCGACAUGGACAGUACAAUCUUGAUGGGAAGGAGGACUCUGAGAGAUAUCUCACUAAACUAGGGAAAAAACAGGCGGACUACUGUGGAAAGAGGUUAAAAGAAGCAGACAUUGAAUACACUAAGCUUAUAUCUUCUACAAUGACCAGAGCCGUGGAGACAGCAGCAAUUAUACACAAACACCUCCCCCAGCUCACCUGGGAAAAAGAGCCCAACCUGUGUGAAGGAGCCCCCAUCCCACCGGAACCUCCAAUCGGCCAUUGGAAACCUGAACAGUUUCAGUUCUUUCAGGAUGGUCCCAGAAUAGAGACAGCCUUUAGAAAGCUUUUCCACAGGGCUGAAGUUGAGCAGAAAAAGGACAGCUAUGAGAUUGUUGUUUGUCAUGCUAAUGUUAUUAGAUACUUUGUAUGUAGGUAAGUGAUAGCCCUAUACCGUCGUACAUCUCAAUUAUUUUUUUAGUGAUUUAUAGAAAUGAACUCUAUUGUAAGUAAUGGAGCCAGGUUAUAGGUCACAAAAUAUGUUUUUGACAGGACUAGUAAUAUUAUAAAGGGAUUUAAAGAAUUGUUUAGGGUAUAAUACCAGGGUAUGUACCAGAGGCCUGUUCAACAGAACGAGCGCUCACCAAAUUUCCCCAUACCUGCAAUACAAACUUUGCGGAGAGCUCUGCUGAACACGCCAUCAAUUUAUUGGUGGUUGGAAAGGGGUGUCCAUGUACAUCACAUCAAAUUCAUUAACCCUCUCACUCUCAGUUAGGAAUAAGAGACUUGGCUAGGUAAUGUAAUUUCAGCAUUCUUUCUUUAACAAUUUCAAGAAUCCUUUUUAGUACUGCAUAUCAAAAAAAAAAAAAAUGCUAGUCCUGUAGUACAUGUUCAAAUAUGUAUGUGUAUAUACAAGUACAUGCUCUCCUUGGAUAUCCAAAUACCAAGUUCUCAUUAAACAAGCUCUAAAUAAUGGUAAACAGAAACUCCUUUUUAUUUUGAAUCUUAAUAUACAUGAAUUAUAUAAGGACUAACAAAUACAUGUGUAAAAUGUCCUUCAUGAUUGUUUGCAGGGCUCUACAAUUUCCCCCGGAGGCAUGGUUGAGGAUUAGUCUAGACCACGCCAGUAUCACAUGGGUUACAAUCCGACCGUCCGGACGGGUGUCGAUCCGUAGGCUCGGAGAUUCUGGAUUUAUACCAGCAAAGGAGGUUACAGCUUCAUAAUGUGACUUGUCAUAUAUGUAUAUGACAUCUUGGCCUUAUCUUAAAUCUCAGGGUUACCAGCACUCCCAAUGAGAGAAUUGAUGAAGUGUGUCUGAUUAUAGAUUUAAUUGAUGAUUAUGUCUAUGUCAGAUUAUUGAUGUGUGCAUUAGAUUAUUGACAUGUGGUGUGUGCCAUUGGCAUGUUUGUCAGAGUAUUGAUGUAAACUGACACAAGUUUAUGUCAUAUAUUUUUAUACAAACAUUUACAUGUUAUAGAUGUGAUAUUAUGGAUAGAAGCCUUGCACUUAUAGCACAUAUAUUUUUAAGAACACAGUUGCUCAUAAAUAAUUGAAGGUUUCUUCUUUGUGUUAAUUAGUAUGACUUUGUACUUAACUACAUAAAAGAUUGAAGG
rnacentral:misc_RNA from 1 species